rnacentral:rRNA from 1 species
GGGUUGUGAGGUUAAGCGACUAAGCGUACACGGUGGAUGCCCUGGCAGUCAGAGGCGAUGAAGGACGUGCUAAUCUGCGAUAAGCGUCGGUAAGGUGAUAUGAACCGUUAUAACCGGCGAUUUCCGAAUGGGGAAACCCAGUGUGAUUCGUCACACUAUCAUUAACUGAAUCCAUAGGUUAAUGAGGCGAACCGGGGGAACUGAAACAUCUAAGUACCCCGAGGAAAAGAAAUCAACCGAGAUUCCCCCAGUAGCGGCGAGCGAACGGGGAGCAGCCCAGAGCCUGAAUCAGUGUGUGUGUUAGUGGAAGCGUCUGGAAAGGCGCGCGAUACAGGGUGACAGCCCCGUACACAAAAAUGCACAUACUGUGAGCUCGAUGAGUAGGGCGGGACACGUGGUAUCCUGUCUGAAUAUGGGGGGACCAUCCUCCAAGGCUAAAUACUCCUGACUGACCGAUAGUGAACCAGUACCGUGAGGGAAAGGCGAAAAGAACCCCGGCGAGGGGAGUGAAAAAGAACCUGAAACCGUGUACGUACAAGCAGUGGGAGCACGCUUAGGCGUGUGACUGCGUACCUUUUGUAUAAUGGGUCAGCGACUUAUAUUCUGUAGCAAGGUUAACCGAAUAGGGGAGCCGAAGGGAAACCGAGUCUUAACUGGGCGUUAAGUUGCAGGGUAUAGACCCGAAACCCGGUGAUCUAGCCAUGGGCAGGUUGAAGGUUGGGUAACACUAACUGGAGGACCGAACCGACUAAUGUUGAAAAAUUAGCGGAUGACUUGUGGCUGGGGGUGAAAGGCCAAUCAAACCGGGAGAUAGCUGGUUCUCCCCGAAAGCUAUUUAGGUAGCGCCUCGUGAAUUCAUCUCCGGGGGUAGAGCACUGUUUCGGCAAGGGGGUCAUCCCGACUUACCAACCCGAUGCAAACUGCGAAUACCGGAGAAUGUUAUCACGGGAGACACACGGCGGGUGCUAACGUCCGUCGUGAAGAGGGAAACAACCCAGACCGCCAGCUAAGGUCCCAAAGUCAUGGUUAAGUGGGAAACGAUGUGGGAAGGCCCAGACAGCCAGGAUGUUGGCUUAGAAGCAGCCAUCAUUUAAAGAAAGCGUAAUAGCUCACUGGUCGAGUCGGCCUGCGCGGAAGAUGUAACGGGGCUAAACCAUGCACCGAAGCUGCGGCAGCGACGCUUAUGCGUUGUUGGGUAGGGGAGCGUUCUGUAAGCCUGCGAAGGUGUGCUGUGAGGCAUGCUGGAGGUAUCAGAAGUGCGAAUGCUGACAUAAGUAACGAUAAAGCGGGUGAAAAGCCCGCUCGCCGGAAGACCAAGGGUUCCUGUCCAACGUUAAUCGGGGCAGGGUGAGUCGACCCCUAAGGCGAGGCCGAAAGGCGUAGUCGAUGGGAAACAGGUUAAUAUUCCUGUACUUGGUGUUACUGCGAAGGGGGGACGGAGAAGGCUAUGUUGGCCGGGCGACGGUUGUCCCGGUUUAAGCGUGUAGGCUGGUUUUCCAGGCAAAUCCGGAAAACUAAGGCUGAGGCGUGAUGACGAGGCACUACGGUGCUGAAGCAACAAAUGCCCUGCUUCCAGGAAAAGCCUCUAAGCAUCAGGUAACAUCAAAUCGUACCCCAAACCGACACAGGUGGUCAGGUAGAGAAUACCAAGGCGCUUGAGAGAACUCGGGUGAAGGAACUAGGCAAAAUGGUGCCGUAACUUCGGGAGAAGGCACGCUGAUAUGUAGGUGAAGUCCCUCGCGGAUGGAGCUGAAAUCAGUCGAAGAUACCAGCUGGCUGCAACUGUUUAUUAAAAACACAGCACUGUGCAAACACGAAAGUGGACGUAUACGGUGUGACGCCUGCCCGGUGCCGGAAGGUUAAUUGAUGGGGUUAGCGCAAGCGAAGCUCUUGAUCGAAGCCCCGGUAAACGGCGGCCGUAACUAUAACGGUCCUAAGGUAGCGAAAUUCCUUGUCGGGUAAGUUCCGACCUGCACGAAUGGCGUAAUGAUGGCCAGGCUGUCUCCACCCGAGACUCAGUGAAAUUGAACUCGCUGUGAAGAUGCAGUGUACCCGCGGCAAGACGGAAAGACCCCGUGAACCUUUACUAUAGCUUGACACUGAACAUUGAGCCUUGAUGUGUAGGAUAGGUGGGAGGCUUUGAAGUGUGGACGCCAGUCUGCAUGGAGCCGACCUUGAAAUACCACCCUUUAAUGUUUGAUGUUCUAACGUUGACCCGUAAUCCGGGUUGCGGACAGUGUCUGGUGGGUAGUUUGACUGGGGCGGUCUCCUCCUAAAGAGUAACGGAGGAGCACGAAGGUUGGCUAAUCCUGGUCGGACAUCAGGAGGUUAGUGCAAUGGCAUAAGCCAGCUUGACUGCGAGCGUGACGGCGCGAGCAGGUGCGAAAGCAGGUCAUAGUGAUCCGGUGGUUCUGAAUGGAAGGGCCAUCGCUCAACGGAUAAAAGGUACUCCGGGGAUAACAGGCUGAUACCGCCCAAGAGUUCAUAUCGACGGCGGUGUUUGGCACCUCGAUGUCGGCUCAUCACAUCCUGGGGCUGAAGUAGGUCCCAAGGGUAUGGCUGUUCGCCAUUUAAAGUGGUACGCGAGCUGGGUUUAGAACGUCGUGAGACAGUUCGGUCCCUAUCUGCCGUGGGCGCUGGAGAACUGAGGGGGGCUGCUCCUAGUACGAGAGGACCGGAGUGGACGCAUCACUGGUGUUCGGGUUGUCAUGCCAAUGGCACUGCCCGGUAGCUAAAUGCGGAAGAGAUAAGUGCUGAAAGCAUCUAAGCACGAAACUUGCCCCGAGAUGAGUUCUCCCUGACUCCUUGAGAGUCCUGAAGGAACGUUGAAGACGACGACGUUGAUAGGCCGGGUGUGUAAGCGCAGCGAUGCGUUGAGCUAACCGGUACUAAUGAACCGUGAGGCUUAACCUUACAACGCCGAAGGUGUUU